AUUUCUAAGGUGUAGUAGCACAUAAUAUUUUCACUAUUAAGGGGUAGAUUUU
rnacentral:tRNA from 1 species